rnacentral:rRNA from 1 species
GAUGAACGCUGGCGGCGUGCCUAAUAUAUGCAAGUCGAGCGAACAGACGAGGAGCUUGCUCCUCUGACGUUAGCGGCGGACGGGUGAGUAACGCGUGGAUAACCUACCUAUAAGACUGGGAUAACUUCGGGAAACCGGAGCUAAUACCGGAUAAUAUAUUGAACCGCAUGGUUCAAUAGUGAAAGACGGUUUUGCUGUCACUUAUAGAUGGAUCCGCGCCGCAUUAGCUAGUUGGUAAGGUAACGGCUUACCAAGGCAACGAUGCGUAGCCGACCUGAGAGGGUGAUCGGCCACACUGGAACUGAGACACGGUCCAGACUCCUACGGGAGGCAGCAGUAGGGAAUCUUCCGCAAUGGGCGAAAGCUUGACGGAGCAACGCCGCGUGAGUGAUGAAGGUCUUCGGAUCGUAAAACUCUGUUAUUAGGGAAGAACAAAUGUGUAAGUAACUAUGCACGUCUUGACGGUACCUAAUCAGAAAGCCACGGCUAACUACGUG